rnacentral:misc_RNA from 1 species
UAUUUCACAAUAUAAGUUAUUUUAGUAUUUCCCAUAUUCAUAUUGAUGUUAAUGAAUCUAGAUAGAUAUAGAUGUUAAUGAAUCUAGAUAGAUAUAGAUGUUAAUGAAUCUAAGACAUAUAUAUCUAUCUAGAUUCAUUAACAUCAAUAUGAAUGUGGGAAAUGUUAGAAUGACUUAUAUUGUGAAACGG